UGCAGUCGAGCGGAACGAUCCUAGCUUGCUAGGAGGCGUCGAGCGGCGGACGGGUGAGUAAUGCAUAGGAAUCUGCCCGGUAGUGGGGGAUAACUUGAGGAAACUCAAGCUAAUACCGCAUACGCCCUACGGGGGAAAGCAGGGGCUCUUCGGACCUUGCGCUAUCGGAUGAGCUUAUGUCGGAUUAGCUGGUUGGUGAGGUAACGGCUCACCAAGGCGACGAUCCGUAGCUGGUCUGAGAGGAUGAUCAGCCACAUCGGGACUGAGACACGGCCCGAACUCCUACGGGAGGCAGCAGUGGGGAAUAUUGGACAAUGGGGGCAACCCUGAUCCAGCCAUGCCGCGUGUGUGAAGAAGGCCCUCGGGUUGUAAAGCACUUUCAGCGAGGAAGAAUGCUUGUCGGUUAAUACCCGGCAAGGGAGACAUCACUCGCAGAAGAAGCACCGGCUAACUCCGUGCCAGCAGCCGCGGUAAUACGGAGGGUGCGAGCGUUAAUCGGAAUUACUGGGCGUAAAGCGUGCGUAGGCGGCUUGAUAAGCCGGUUGUGAAAGCCCCGGGCUCAACCUGGGAACGGCAUCCGGAACUGUUAGGCUAGAGUGCAGGAGAGGAAGGUAGAAUUCCCGGUGUAGCGGUGAAAUGCGUAGAGAUCGGGAGGAAUACCAGUGGCGAAGGCGGCCUUCUGGACUGACACUGACGCUGAGGUACGAAAGCGUGGGUAGCAAACAGGAUUAGAUACCCUGGUAGUCCACGCCGUAAACGAUGUCGACUAGCCCGUUGGGGUCCUCGAGACCUUUGUGGCGCAGUUAACGCACUAAGUCGACGCCCUGGGGAGUACGGCCGCAAGGUUAAACUCAAUGAAUUUGACGGGGCCGCACAGCGGUGGAGCAUGGUGGUUUAAUUCGAUGCACGCGAGACCUUACCUACCCUUGACAUC
rnacentral:rRNA from 1 species